rnacentral:rRNA from 1 species
AGCAGUCGCCACGGUAAUACGGAGGGUGCAAGCGUUAUCCGGAUUUAUUGGGUUUAAAGGGUCCGUAGGCGGACUUAUAAGUCAGUGGUGAAAGCCUGUCGCUUAACGAUAGAACUGCCAUUGAUACUGUAAGUCUUGAGUAUAUUUGAGGUAGCUGGAAUAAGUAGUGUAGCGGUGAAAUGCAUAGAUAUUACUUAGAACACCAAUUGCGAAGGCAGGUUACCAAGAUAUAACUGACGCUGAGGGACGAAAGCGUGGGUAGCGAACAGGAUUAGAUACCCCCGUAGUCCCUGUCUCUUAUAA